rnacentral:lncRNA from 1 species
GAACAUUAUACAAUUAUGACCCGUUGAAAAGGUGAUUAUCCAAAAUUGUCAACACGAGAAGGUUAUUUCAUUGAGGGCGCAGCCCGAAGUGAAAUAACUUUUAAGGGAUGACAAUUUUGGAUAUUUACCUUUUCAACGGGCCACAAUUGUUUUAUUAUACCGAACUAACAGUGGAAGGGCAUUUCGAACACUUACUAUAGUCUAUACUUUUAACAUAACACACAGACAGUGACUGAUAUUUGAAAAUAUAUUUGUGUUAGAAUUUUUCGAAUUUACAACAAAAGUAGAAUCUUUUUGUAAAAUAUUGAUGGCCCUGAAAAGUAC